rnacentral:tRNA from 1 species
GCACGAGUGGCGAAAUGGUAGACGCGCAGGAUUUAGGUUCCUGUGUCUCAGACAUAAGGGUUCGAGUCCCUUCCCGUGCA